UUGGGGCUGAUUCAGAAGGUGUGGUGACAGGGUCAGUUGGAGGAGUUGGUUGUAGGUUUGCUUCGGGAAGAACCUCCUCGUCGCUUUCAGGAUCUAUCUCGCGAGGGAUAGUUUUGGCCUUUUUAGCAGCUUUCUUCUUUCGGCGAGGUCGGAGGACUUCUUCAGGAAUGAGAGGCUCGUCGGCUUCAGGCUCAUCAUUCCGAAGGGGGGUAGUUGCUGGGUCGGAGGCAGGAGGAUCAGUUCGGGAAGGCUCUUCGGUAGGAAGUUCUUCACUUGCCUCCGUAAUCCUCCCCGCCAGAAAAUCUCCCAAAUCUUUCACUUCCGAAGAAGUUGGUUUGAUCAAAGACACUGCAAAUAACCGCAUAUUAAAAUCCUUGCCACAUAAAUACCUCAAAAAUUAUAUUGCAUAGUUAUCCGAGACUUACAUUUGUGAUCAUACAGCCAGGCUUGUUUGGUCAGCAGGGUGAAACUCCAUUCUUGUGGAGGGAUCUUCUUCAGAA
rnacentral:lncRNA from 1 species